AACGAACGCUGGCGGCAUGCCUAACACAUGCAAGUCGAACGAGACCUUCGGGUCUAGUGGUGCACGGGUGCGUAACGCGUGGGAACCUGCCCUUAGGUUCGGAAUAACUCCCCGAAAGGGGUGCUAAUACCGGAUAAUGUCUUCGGACCAAAGAUUUAUCGCCUUUGGAUGGGCCCGCGUUGGAUUAGCUAGUUGGUAGGGUAAAAGCCUACCAAGGCGACGAUCCAUAGCUGGUCUGAGAGGAUGAUCAGCCACACUGGGACUGAGACACGGCCCAGACUCCUACGGGAAGCAGCAGUGGGGAAUAUUGGACAAUGGGCGAAAGCCUGAUCCAGCAAUGCCGCGUGAGCGAUGAAGGCCUUAGGGUUGUAAAGCUCUUUUACCCGGGAUGAUAAUGACAGUACCGGGAGAAUAAGCUCCGGCUAACUCCGUG
rnacentral:rRNA from 1 species